AACGAUAAUGACAGCAGAGAAUCAACAAAUACAAAACAUUAUGUUGAAGAAUGGAUGACCGAAAGUAGGUUUGCUUAUUUUAGAUUAUGUUACCGGGGAAAUCGUCGGGGGUUCAUUGCUUCAGGUGGUCCCGUAAGCUACGUUUUCUUCGGGAAAACGUGGGAUCCUCGCGAAUUACGAUGGAUCUAACUGUAGUUUCAAAAACUAUUUCAUCUUGUUCUAAGUGAUCUAUCCUCAUUUCGUAGUACCACGUUUUCAUCCAUUCCACUGCUUGAUCAAAAUUUAGAUUAACCUCUGCCAUUUUCAAAACGAAAAAAAAGAACAAUUGGUUUCGAAACAAAGCGUUCAAAUGAGAACAAAAGAACUAGGUAACGAUCACUCAAUCCCCGGAAAUUAAUCUCACCCGUCAGUCUAAAUGAAAAAGGCUGAAUUCUGGUAAAUGGUCAAACAAAAGAGACGGUAAAAUUUAUCACUAAAGUAAUUAUCAUCACCCGGAAAGAUUUUUUUGC